UGAUUCCACUUCUAGAAUACUGAGAUGCCACGUCUGUACCACAUGGUCUAGUGAAAGAAGGAAGCUGCCAAACUCUUGGCCAAACUCUUCUGCAAUUAUCUUGUGAAACAGAUAAUGGAGCACGGGCUUCAGAACUCAUCCAUAUCAGUCUAUACAGAGUUGAAAUGUGUAUCAAUUCUCAGUAAUAAGUGGCUUUCCCCAAAGGAGUUAAUAAUAGAGUGGAUGGCACCCUGAUGCUUGUUUUCAGAGGUUUUUCAAGCAUCAGGGAGGCUUCAGGUGGUAUUUCUACAGCAAAGAACUACAGGACAACUGAGUUUGUAACCAAGCCAUUACAUCUACUAAUUAAAGAAUAGAAAGAAGUUUUCUGGAUGUGGAUUGCUUUGAUUACAGACUAUCAAGUAUAAUAGCAUUUCUUUGGGUGACUAUGAUGGGACAGUGCUGAAGAUUAAAUUUGUUGAAACUCCUUAGGAACCUGCAACAAUUAGAGUAGAAUAAACACUGCUUGAUGGUGAUGGCCUUUGAAUCUCAGAAGUUAUUUCUGAAAGGAAAUACAGAGAAUUCCACAUGCCUUGUUUUGUUGUUUAACCCACUAGGAACAUAUAGAGCAUGGGUGAUUGGCAUUUGAGGCGUGAAAACCUGGAACUGACACAUAAGCCCUCUAACAGCUUUGGAAAUAAUACAGUAAAAAAUGACUUUGUACAAUGACAAUGAAGAAAAUUUACAUAAAUACAUAAAUGUGCUAAUGGAAUAAAAUAAUAUACUAUGCUCUCAUAA